ensembl:lncRNA
CAAUCCUGUAUGCAACAAACUUUAAAAUUCUCCAUUUCGUAAGAAAUAGCAAUUGCUCGGGGCCAGUAUCAUAAACGCCCAUCUCAGAGUGCUUCCCUCAGCUCUGACCAUGACCAGAUGUUUAGUCAAAUCCUGUUAACCUCCGUUUCACAAGUUCAGGCUUUUCCUGUGCUCGGGGCCAGAACCAAAGCUGGCUGGUGUGAUGGAGGGCCUCCUUGGGACACAGGGGCUCCAGGUCGGGACUUGAGAUGGUUCGUGUGAGUAUUGGAAAGCAGUUCUCAAACAGCUCUCACUGUGUUUUGAGUACUGCUCGCUUCUGGGCUUUGAAAAUGUGUCAGUGUAGGCAUCUGUGAAAAUCAGCCUCUGUGAGAGACACUGAGUGAAACCUGGGGAUGAGGAAGGACACACGUCUAAAGGCUCGUGAAAAGCUGAGCUCACACAACUUGUGUUACGUGCUGGAUGCAUUGUAUUCUCCUCUGUUGCAGAGAAAUCUCAAUGGGAAAAGAAAUCUGGAUGUUUCAAAACGUACUUCUUUUCAUUCUGCAUGUAUGGCAUGGAUUGAAUAGCAGUCAUCCAGAAAGCAGAAAUACCAGUGUCAGAGUCAGAACGCUUAUACAGGGUAGAGAUUUGCUGUUCCAUUUCACUCUUCUAUCCUGGUGUGACUUUGUGACCUCAAGAAAUCCCUUUCUAUCAUGAAAGCUGUCUCCAAGAAUUGGCACCUUUGUGAUUACAUCUCAUUUCUGGUGCUGGAGAGCUGCAUCCAGGAGCUCAAGCUGUGAAGUGGUGAACAAAGCCCUCUGCUAUGUUGUGCUUCUUCACAUAGAUGAAAAUGGACACAAAGAAGCUGGAUUGUGUCUUAAGGAGGAAAAAGGUCUCAGUGAAAUAGCG